GGGCGCUUAGCUCAGUUGGUUAGAGCAUCUCCCUUACAAGGAGAGGGUCGGGGGUUCGAGUCCCUCAGCGCCUACCA
rnacentral:tRNA from 2 species